rnacentral:rRNA from 1 species
AUGAACGCUGGCGGCGUGCCUAAUACAUGCAAGUCGAGCGAACAGACGAGGAGCUUGCUCUUCUGACGUUAGCGGCGGACGGGUGAGUAACACGUGGAUAACCUACCUAUAAGACUGGGAUAACUUCGGGAAACCGGAGCUAAUACCGGAUAAUAUAUUGGACCGCAUGGUUUCAUAGUGAAAGACGGUUUUGCUUUCACUUAUAGAUGGAUCCGCGCCGCAUUAGCUAGUUGGUAAGGUAACGGCUUACCAAGGCGACGAUGCGUAGCCGACCUGAGAGGGUGAUCGGCCACACUGGAACUGAGACACGGUCCAGACUCCUACGGGAGGCAGCAGUAGGGAAUCUUCCGCAAUGGGCGAAAGCCUGACGGAGCAACGCCGCGUGAGUGAUGAAGGUCUUCGGAUCGUAAAACUCUGUUAUUAGGGAAGAACAAAUGUGUAAGUAACUAUGCACGUCUUGACGGUACCUAAUCAGAAAGCCACGGCUAACUACGUG